rnacentral:rRNA from 1 species
UGGACGCCAGUCUGCAUGGAGCCGACCUUGAAAUACCACCCUUUAAUGUUUGAUGUUCUAACGUGGACCCGUAAUCCGGGUUGCGGACAGUGUCUGGUGGGUAGUUUGACUGGGGCGGUCUCCUCCUAAAGAGUAACGGAGGAGCACGAAGGUUGGCUAAUCCUGGUCGGACAUCAGGAGGUUAGUGCAAUGGCAUAAGCCAGCUUGACUGCGAGCGUGACGGCGCGAGCAGGUGCGAAAGCAGGUCAUAGUGAUCCGGUGGUUCUGAAUGGAAGGGCCAUCGCUCAACGGAUAAAAGGUACUCCGGGGAUAACAGGCUGAUACCGCCCAAGAGUUCAUAUCGACGGCGGUGUUUGGCACCUCGAUGUCGGCUCAUCACAUCCUGGGGCUGAAGUAGGUCCCAAGGGUAUGGCUGUUCGCCAUUUAAAGUGGUACGCGAGCUGGGUUUAGAACGUCGUGAGACAGUUCGGUCCCUAUCUGCCGUGGGCGCUGGAGAACUGAGGGGGGCUGCUCCUAGUACGAGAGGACCGGAGUGGACGCAUCACUGGUGUUCGGGUUGUCAUGCCAAUGGCACUGCCCGGUAGCUAAAUGCGGAAGAGAUAAGUGCUGAAAGCAUCUAAGCACGAAACUUGCCCCGAGAUGAGUUCUCCCUGACUCCUUGAGAGUCCUGAAGGAACGUUGAAG